UAAUUCCUUCCCAGGAGGGAGCUUCUGUUUCUACAGAGGUUUCUGCCAGGGGUGUUGGCACCUGGCGCCGCCUAGGCGACCGGAGCCCAAAUACAGUGGCGGACGCGCAAGCGGUCCCUAGCGCAGUACAAGAACUUCGCUCAGGAGGCUCGCAGCAGCGGAUCACAGCCUAACGCAAAAAGCUUUUGGUUUUUUGCAACAAAA
rnacentral:misc_RNA from 1 species